rnacentral:sRNA from 1 species
GCAAUGUUUUAGCUUUCUAUACCAGACGGUUUAUUAUUUACUCCCUAUUAGGUACAGCAUUGGAAAGUUGGAGAAUAUAUAAGAGCCAGUGAGUUUGCCGCAGUGAAGUUGCCAAAUGGAAACUGGAUCUUUAUGACCAAAGUGACUUUCUCAUCUAUUUACCUUUCGGAUCACCUCAAGAAAGUCUCGAUAACAAAAAAGUUGCCAUCAAUGAUUAUUCAAUUUUUGUCUAAAAUAUGCGUCUGUUUACUCCUGAUUAAGCCUGUGUUUACAUCCCCUUUGAAAUCUGAAUCGCCUUCCGCAGAUCUCCCCCCUUCUCUCGA